UCCAGGACCGAGUUUGGACAGCCCUACUCUAAAAAGUAUGUCAAAUAGAUGUCUUCACGAUGUACGUGUGCUAUCAGAGAUUCAAGUCAGAUUUGUCUGGCCAUGGCAGAUGUUGAAGUUCAUCUUGAUGCUCCAACUCUCCAGGGAGUUUGAUUGAUAGAUGAUCUGAACAAUCACAAUGCCGAAUCUGUCAUUUUGUCUGACAAACCAGACAGAAGAAUAGAUUAACGUCGAUGGACUUGAACUUGAAAAAUGGCGCUACAGUGAUCUGUCACAACAUGUUAAAGAAC